rnacentral:rRNA from 1 species
GGGAGCCUCUUUAUGGGGUGACUGCGUACCUUUUGUAUAAUGGGUCAGCGACUUAUAUUCUGUAGCAAGGUUAACCGAAUAGGGGAGCCGAAGGGAAACCGAGUCUUAACUGGGCGUUAAGUUGCAGGGUAUAGACCCGAAACCCGGUGAUCUAGCCAUGGGCAGGUUGAAGGUUGGGUAACACUAACUGGAGGACCGAACCGACUAAUGUUGAAAAAUUAGCGGAUGACUUGUGGCUGGGGGUGAAAGGCCAAUCAAACCGGGAGAUAGCUGGUUCUCCCCGAAAGCUAUUUAGGUAGCGCCUCGUGAAUUCAUCUCCGGGGGUAGAGCACUGUUUCGGCAAGGGGGUCAUCCCGACUUACCAACCCGAUGCAAACUGCGAAUACCGGAGAAUGUUAUCACGGGAGACACACGGCGGGUGCUAACGUCCGUCGUGAAGAGGGAAACAACCCAGACCGCCAGCUAAGGUCCCAAAGUCAUGGUUAAGUGGGAAACGAUGUGGGAAGGCCCAGACAGCCAGGAUGUUGGCUUAGAAGCAGCCAUCAUUUAAAGAAAGCGUAAUAGCUCACUGGUCGAGUCGGCCUGCGCGGAAGAUGUAACGGGGCUAAACCAUGCACCGAAGCUGCGGCAGCGACGCUUAUGCGUUGUUGGGUAGGGGAGCGUUCUGUAAGCCUGCGAAGGUGUGCUGUGAGGCAUGCUGGAGGUAUCAGAAGUGCGAAUGCUGACAUAAGUAACGAUAAAGCGGGUGAAAAGCCCGCUCGCCGGAAGACCAAGGGUUCCUGUCCAACGUUAAUCGGGGCAGGGUGAGUCGACCCCUAAGGCGAGGCCGAAAGGCGUAGUCGAUGGGAAACAGGUUAAUAUUCCUGUACUUGGUGUUACUGCGAAGGGGGGACGGAGAAGGCUAUGUUGGCCGGGCGACGGUUGUCCCGGUUUAAGCGUGUAGGCUGGUUUUCCAGGCAAAUCCGGAAAAUCAAGGCUGAGGCGUGAUGACGAGGCACUACGGUGCUGAAGCAACAAAUGCCCUGCUUCCAGGAAAAGCCUCUAAGCAUCAGGUAACAUCAAAUCGUACCCCAAACCGACACAGGUGGUCAGGUAGAGAAUACCAAGGCGCUUGAGAGAACUCGGGUGAAGGAACUAGGCAAAAUGGUGCCGUAACUUCGGGAGAAGGCACGCUGAUAUGUAGGUGAAGCGACUUGCUCGUGGAGCUGAAAUCAGUCGAAGAUACCAGCUGGCUGCAACUGUUUAUUAAAAACACAGCACUGUGCAAACACGAAAGUGGACGUAUACGGUGUGACGCCUGCCCGGUGCCGGAAGGUUAAUUGAUGGGGUUAGCGGUAACGCGAAGCUCUUGAUCGAAGCCCCGGUAAACGGCGGCCGUAACUAUAACGGUCCUAAGGUAGCGAAAUUCCUUGUCGGGUAAGUUCCGACCUGCACGAAUGGCGUAAUGAUGGCCAGGCUGUCUCCACCCGAGACUCAGUGAAAUUGAACUCGCUGUGAAGAUGCAGUGUACCCGCGGCAAGACGGAAAGACCCCGUGAACCUUUACUAUAGCUUGACACUGAACAUUGAGCCUUGAUGUGUAGGAUAGGUGGGAGGCUUUGAAGUGUGGACGCCAGUCUGCAUGGAGCCGACCUUGAAAUACCACCCUUUAAUGUUUGAUGUUCUAACGUUGGCCCCUAAUCGGGGUUGCGGACAGUGUCUGGUGGGUAGUUUGACUGGGGCGGUCUCCUCCUAAAGAGUAACGGAGGAGCACGAAGGUUGGCUAAUCCUGGUCGGACAUCAGGAGGUUAGUGCAAUGGCAUAAGCCAGCUUGACUGCGAGCGUGACGGCGCGAGCAGGUGCGAAAGCAGGUCAUAGUGAUCCGGUGGUUCUGAAUGGAAGGGCCAUCGCUCAACGGAUAAAAGGUACUCCGGGGAUAACAGGCUGAUACCGCCCAAGAGUUCAUAUCGACGGCGGUGUUUGGCACCUCGAUGUCGGCUCAUCACAUCCUGGGGCUGAAGUAGGUCCCAAGGGUAUGGCUGUUCGCCAUUUAAAGUGGUACGCGAGCUGGGUUUAGAACGUCGUGAGACAGUUCGGUCCCUAUCUGCCGUGGGCGCUGGAGAACUGAGGGGGGCUGCUCCUAGUACGAGAGGACCGGAGUGGACGCAUCACUGGUGUUCGGGUUGUCAUGCCAAUGGCACUGCCCGGUAGCUAAAUGCGGAAGAGAUAAGUGCUGAAAGCAUCUAAGCACGAAACUUGCCCCGAGAUGAGUUCUCCCUGACUCCUUGAGAGUCCUGAAGGAACGUUGAAGACGACGACGUUGAUAGGCCGGGUGUGUAAGCGCAGCGAUGCGUUGAGCUAACCGGUACUAAUGAACCGUGAGGCUUAACCUU